AGUGAAGUGGGAAAAGCUCAACUUUGUAAUCUGGCUGUCUUUGGCAGUCCGAGUUGUAGUCUAGAGAAGUGUUAUCCGCGCAGACCCUUAUAGAUUUCGGUUGGAAUGCCAAGUCAAAGAGGGUGAGAAUCCCGUAUUUGAUAAGGUGGUCUUGUGCAUUGUGAUACAUUUUCAAAGAGUCGAGUUGUUUGGGAAUGCAGCUCAAAGUGGGUGGUAAAUUCCAUCUAAAGCUAAAUAUUGGCGAGAGACCGAUAGCGAACAAGUACCGUGAGGGAAAGAUGAAAAGCACUUUGGAAAGAGAAUGAAAUAGUACCUGAAAUUGCUGAAAGGGAAACGAGUGAAGUUAGACUUGCGCAGUUGGUAUUCAGCCUUGGCUUCGGUCUUGGUGCAUUUGCCUUCUAUUGCAGGCCAACAUCAGUUUACUUUGCGGUAAAAGGGUUUGGGGAAUGUGGCUUCUUCGGGAGUGUUAUAGCCCUUUACUGGAUGCCGAAUCGUAGACUGAGGAACGCAGCGCGCCUUUAUGGCAAGGCUUUCAAGCCUCGAGCGCUUAGGAUGUUGGUAGAAUAGCUUUACACGACCCGUCUUGAAACACGGACCAAGGAGUCUAACAUGCUUG
rnacentral:rRNA from 1 species